UGUUUGAGCGUCGUUUCUCCCUCAAACCGCUGGGUUUGGUGUUGAGCAAUACGACUUGGGUUUGCUUGAAAGACGGUAGUGGUAAGGCGGGAUCGCUUUGACAAUGGCUUAGGUCUAACCAAAAACAUUGCUUGCGGCGGUAACGUCUACCACGUAUAUCUUCAAACUUUGACCUCAAAUCAGGUAGGACUACCCGCUGAACUUAAGCAUAUCAAUAAGCGGAGGAAAAGAAACCAACAGGGAUUGCCUCAGUAGCGGCGAGUGAAGCGGCAAAAGCUCAAAUUUGAAAUCUGGCGUCUUUGGCGUCCGAGUUGUAAUUUGAAGAAGGUAUCUUUGGGCCCGGCUCUUGUCUAUGUUCCUUGGAACAGGACGUCACAGAGGGUGAGAAUCCCGUGCGAUGAGAUGACCCGGGUCUGUGUAAAGUUCCUUCGACGAGUCGAGUUGUUUGGGAAUGCAGCUCUAAGUGGGUGGUAAAUUCCAUCUAAAGCUAAAUAUUGGCGAGAGACCGAUAGCGAACAAGUACAGUGAUGGAAAGAUGAAAAGAACUUUGAAAAGAGAGUGAAAAAGUACGUGAAAUUGUUGAAAGGGAAGGGCUUGAGAUCAGACUUGGUAUUUUGCAUGCUGCUCUCUCGGGGGCGGCCGCUGCGGUUUACCGGGCCAGCAUCGGUUUGGAGCGGCAGGAUAAUGGCGGAGGAAUGUGGCACGGCUUCUGCUGUGUGUUAUAGCCUCUGACGAUGCUGCCAGCCUAGACCGAGGACUGCGGUUUUUAACCUAGGAUGUUGGCAUAAUGAUCUUAAGUCGCCCGUCUUGAAACACGGACCAAGGAGUCUAACGUCUAUGCGAGUGUUUGGGUGUAAAACCCGUACGCGUAAUGAAAGUGAACGAAGGUGGGGGCCCAUUAGGGUGCACCAUCGACCGAUCCUGAUGUGUUCGGAUGGAUUUGAGUAAGAGCAUAGCUGUUGGGACCCGAAAGAUGGUGAACUAUGCCUGAAUAGGGUGAAGCCAGAGGAAACUCUGGUG
rnacentral:rRNA from 1 species